rnacentral:ncRNA from 1 species
UCGAAAUUCUCUGUGUUAGGGCCCCGCAACUUGCAUUGCCUGUAGAAUUUCUAUUCGAAAUUCUUUUUGUUGGGGCCCCACCCCAACUUACAUUGUCUGUAGAAUUUCUAUUCGAAAUUCUUUUUGUUGGGGCCCCUGUCUCUAAUUUAAAGUCUUGUUAUAAUCGCAUUUUUGUUUGGUCAAUGUCUGUCUAUAUAAUAUUGUAGAGCCUAAGUCGUGGUUAUGU